AAGAUAAGUAACAUUCCGUGAAUUAAUCUGAUAAACUGUUUUGACAACUGGUUACUUCCCUAAGACUGUUUAUAUUAGGAUUGUCAAGACACUCCGGUAUUACUCGAGCCCGUAAUACAACACCUGGUAGCGUUAAAGGUUACUAAUUGUUCAAACGAACCAUCGAAAAGCCGAACCUAGCUACACCACACCCCAGUAUGAGCUUUAUGGAUCAAAUCCCAGGAGGAGGAAAUUAUCCAAAACUCCCAGUAGAAUGCCUUCCUAACUUCCCGAUCCAACCAUCUUUGACCUUCAGAGGUAGAAAUGACUCGCAUAAACUGAAAAACUUUAUCUCCGAAAUAAUGUUAAACAUGUCUAUGAUAUCUUGGCCGAAUGAUGCCAGUCGUAUUGUGUACUGCAGAAGACAUUUAUUAAACCCCGCUGCUCAGUGGGCUAAUGACUUUGUACAAGAACAAGGUAUACUUGAAAUAACAUUCGACACAUUCAUACAAGGAUUAUAUCAGCAUUUCUAUAAGCCACCAGAUAUCAAUAAAAUCUUUAAUGCAAUCACGCAACUUUCCGAAGCUAAACUUGGUAUUGAGCGUCUCAACCAACGAUUCAGAAAGAUUUGGGACAGAAUGCCACCAGACUUCAUGACCGAAAAAGCUGCCAUAAUGACAUAUACUAGGCUAUUGACAAAGGAAACCUAUAAUAUUGUCAGAAUGCACAAACCAGAGACAUUAAAAGACGCCAUGGAAGAGGCUUACCAGACAACUGCACUAACUGAAAGAUUCUUCCCAGGAUUCGAACUUGAUGCUGAUGGAGACACUAUCAUCGGUGCCACAACCCACUUACAAGAAGAAUACGACUCUGACUAUGAUUCAGAAGAUAAUCUGACCCAGAAUGGAUACGUCCAUACCGUAAGGACAAGAAGAUCUUACAAUAAACCAAUGUCAAAUCAUCGAAACAGGAGAAAUAACAACCCAUCUAGAGAAGAAUGUAUAAAAAAUCGGCUAUGCUUCUAUUGUAAGAAAGAGGGACAUCGCCUGAACGAAUGUAGAGCACGUAAGGCGAGUUCUAACCGAUCUUGAACUCGAAUCAAAAGACCAACAAACUCCUUUUAUCAAAACCUUACCAAUUGUACACUAUAUCGCCAUCCCCGAGAUGGACAAUACCGCCGAAAAAACCAUAAAAAUACAAAACACGAAAGUAAAAACCCUGUUUGACAGUGGAUCACCCACGUCAUUUAUCCGAAGAGAUAUUGUAGAACUUCUCAAAUACGAAAUCUACGAGACCCCUCCACUCCGUUUUAGAGGAUUCGUAGCCACCAAAUCCGCCGUUACAUCCGAAGCAGUCACCAUUGACCUCAAAAUCAAUGACCUGCAUAUAACUUUAGCCGCGUACAUACUGGAUAACAUGGACUACCAAUUGUUAAUUGGAAAUCCAAUCUUACGCCGCUACCCGAAAAUCCUGCACACAGUACUGAAUACCAGAGAGAGCCCCGACUCCUUAAAGCCCAAGACUUAUCGCUCCGAAACCGUUAAUAACGUUAGAACCUACUCCGCUGGUAAUCGUGGUAACCCCAGAAACAUAAAACUGUCUUUUGCCCCCACCAUUCUCGAAGCAACUGACCCGAAAUCCGCUGGUAAUCGUGGUGACUCCAGAACCAAAACCCUGUCUCUUGCAACCACUACUCCUGCAGCAAUUGACCCGCUUACGACCCUUGAUAACCCAGGUAGUACUCAAAGUACAUUUGCGCAAUUCCCGAUACCUGAAGAAGCGAGCAUCCUAGAAGAGGAUGGAAAAUACUCCAACGUUGUCUCAACCAUUCAGAGUGUAGAACCUAAUGCUACUGAUCACAGCAAUAAGGACACCUUUUGCACUUUGCCAGUUUGGUUACAACAGAAGUAUAGAGAGAUCAUACGUAAUGAUCUCCCACCAAGACCUGCCGACAUUAAUAACAUCCCCGUAAAACAUGAUAUUGAAAUUAAACCUGGCGCAAGACUACCUCGACUACAGCCAUACCAUGUUACAGAAAAGAACGAACAAGAAAUCAACAAAAUAGUUCAAAAACUGCUCGAUAACAAGUUCAUUGUUCCCUCAAAGUCGCCUUGCAGCUCCCCUGUAGUCCUCGUCCCGAAGAAAGACGGUACCUUCCGACUCUGCGUCGAUUACCGCACCCUGAACAAAGCUACCAUCUCCGACCCAUUCCCAUUACCCAGAAUCGACAACCUAUUGAGCCGUAUUGGAAAUGCCCAGAUAUUUACCACGCUAGAUUUGCAUAGUGGUUACCACCAGAUCCCGAUGGAACCCAAAGACCGCUACAAAACCGCCUUUGUCACACCAUCCGGUAAGUAUGAAUAUACCGUCAUGCCAUUUGGCUUAGUCAAUGCACCUAGUACAUUCGCAAGAUACAUGGCUGAUACAUUUAGAGACCUGAGAUUCGUCAAUGUUUACCUUGAUGAUAUAUUAAUAUUCUCCGAAUCUCCAGAAGAACAUUGGAAACAUUUAGACACGGUACUAGAAAGAUUAAAGAACGAGAACCUCAUUGUUAAGAAGAAAAAAUGUAAAUUUGCAUCUGAAGAAACUGAGUUUUUAGGCUAUAGUAUUGGAAUCCAGAAAAUAGCUCCACUACAGCACAAAUGUGCAGCAAUCCGAGACUUUCCGACGCCUAAAACAGUAAAACAAGCACAGAGAUUUUUAGGAAUGAUUAAUUACUACAGACGAUUCAUUCCAAAUUGCUCCAAGAUUGCACAGCCAAUCCAACUGUUUAUUUGUGACAAAAGUCAAUGGACAGAAAAACAAGACAAGGCAAUUGAUAAACUAAAAGACGCCUUGUGUAACUCCCCCGUCCUAGUACCAUUCAACAACAAAGCAAACUACCGACUUACAACAGACGCCUCAAAAGACGGCAUUGGUGCUGUUCUAGAAGAAGUCGACAACAAGAACAAACUUGUUGGUGUCGUCGGUUACUUCUCUAAAUCCUUAGAGAGUGCCCAGAAAAACUAUCCUGCUGGCGAAUUAGAACUACUUGGAAUUAUCAAAGCACUCCACCACUUCCGAUAUAUGCUUCACGGAAAGCAUUUCACGUUAAGAACAGACCACAUUAGUUUGUUAUCAUUACAAAACAAGAACGAACCCGCACGACGCGUGCAACGCUGGUUAGAUGACCUAGCCACAUAUGACUUCACCUUAGAGUACCUAGCUGGACCCAAGAACGUUGUCGCAGAUGCCAUAUCCCGUGCCGUAUAUACUAUAACCCCCGAAACAUCCCGACCUAUCGACACAGAAAGCUGGAAAUCUUACUACAAAUCAGACCCAUUAUGUAGUGCUGUCUUAAUUCAUAUGAAAGAAUUGACACAACACAACGUCACACCUGAAGAUAUGUCAGCCUUCCGUAGUUACCAGAAGAAACUCGAACUAUCAGAGACCUUCCGAAAGAAUUAUUCCCUAGAAGACGAAAUGAUCUAUUACCAAGACCGACUAGUAGUACCAAUAAAACAACAGAACGCAGUUAUGAGACUAUAUCAUGACCAUACCUUAUUUGGAGGACAUUUUGGUGUAACAGUGACCCUUGCGAAAAUCAGCCCAAUUUACUAUUGGCCAAAAUUACAACAUUCGAUCAUACAAUACAUCAGGACCUGCGUACAAUGUCAACUAAUAAAAUCACACCGACCACGCUUACAUGGACUAUUACAACCACUCCCUAUAGCAGAAGGAAGAUGGCUUGAUAUAUCAAUGGAUUUUGUGACAGGAUUACCCCCGACAUCAAAUAACUUGAAUAUGAUCCUCGUCGUAGUUGAUCGUUUUUCGAAACGCGCUCACUUCAUAGCUACAAGGAAAACCUUAGACGCAACACAACUAAUAGAUCUACUCUUUCGAUACAUUUUUUCAUAUCAUGGUUUUCCCAGGACAAUAACCAGUGAUAGAGAUGUCCGUAUGACCGCCGACAAAUAUCAAGAACUCACGAAAAGACUAGGAAUAAAAUCGACAAUGUCUUCCGCGAACCACCCCCAAACAGAUGGACAAUCCGAACGAACGAUACAGACAUUAAACAGGUUACUAAGAGCCUAUGCUUCAACCAAUAUUCAGAAUUGGCAUGUAUAUUUACCACAAAUCGAAUUUGUUUACAAUUCUACACCUACUAGAACACUUGGAAAAUCACCAUUUGAAAUUGAUUUAGGAUAUUUACCGAAUACCCCUGCUAUUAAGUCAGAUGACGAAGUCAACGCAAGAAGUUUUACUGCCGUAGAACUUGCCAAACACCUCAAAGCCCUUACCAUCCAAACGAAGGAACAGCUAGAACACGCUCAAAUCGAAAUGGAAACUAAUAACAAUCAAAGACGUAAACCCUUAUUGUUAAACAUAGGAGAUCACGUAUUAGUGCAUAGAGAUGCAUACUUCAAGAAAGGUGCUUAUAUGAAAGUACAACAAAUAUACGUCGGACCAUUUCGAGUUGUCAAGAAAAUAAACGAUAACGCCUACGAACUAGAUUUAAACUCUCACAAGAAAAAGCACAGAGUUAUUAAUGUACAAUUCCUGAAAAAGUUUGUAUACCGUCCAGACGCGUACCCAAAGAAUAAACCAAUCAGCUCCACUGAAAGAAUUAAGAGAGCACACGAAGUUACUGCACUCAUAGGAAUAGAUACUACACACAAAACUUACUUAUGUCACAUGCAAGAUGUAGACCCAACACUUUCAGUAGAAUACUCAGAAGCUGAAUUUUGCCAAAUUCCCGAAAGAACACGAAGAUCAAUAUUAGCCAACUUUAGACAACUCUACGAAACACAAGACAACCCUGAGAGAGAGGAAGAUGUUGUAUCUCAAAAUGAGAUAUGUCAGUAUGACAAUACGUCACCCUGAACGUUCAUAAAACACAUAUGAAACAACCUUAUAACAAAACGAACAACAUGAGACAAAACCCGACCUUCCCUAGCUGAACUACCCAAAGUAUAAAUGCCUGAACAAUUAGUUUAGAUCCGAGAUUCCGCGCUUCCACCACUUAGUAUGAUUCAUAUUUUAUAUAAUAUAUAAGAUAAGUAACAUUCCGUGAAUUAAUCUGAUAAACUGUUUUGACAACUGGUUACUUCCCUAAGACUGUUUAUAUU
rnacentral:sRNA from 1 species